rnacentral:rRNA from 1 species
GAUGAACGCUGGCGGCGUGCCUAAUACAUGCAAGUCGAGCGAACAGACGAGGAGCUUGCUCCUUUGACGUUAGCGGCGGACGGGUGAGUAACACGUGGAUAACCUACCUAUAAGACUGGGAUAACUUCGGGAAACCGGAGCUAAUACCGGAUAAUAUAUUGAACCGCAUGGUUCAAUAGUGAAAGACGGUUUUGCUGUCACUUAUAGAUGGAUCCGCGCCGUAUUAGCUAGUUGGUAAGGUAACGGCUUACCAAGGCAACGAUGCGUAGCCGACCUGAGAGGGUGAUCGGCCACACUGGAACUGAGACACGGUCCAGACUCCUACGGGAGGCAGCAGUAGGGAAUCUUCCGCAAUGGGCGAAAGCCUGACGGAGCAACGCCGCGUGAGUGAUGAAGGUCUUCGGAUCGUAAAACUCUGUUAUUAGGGAAGAACAAAUGUGUAAGUAACUAUGCACGUCUUGACGGUACCUAAUCAGAAAGCCACGGCUAACUACGUG